rnacentral:tRNA from 1 species
AUGUUAUAAAGUUACACUACCUUAAUAUCUUCAAUAUUAAACUCUUAUUUAAGCUAUUACAAC